AAAAAGUGUUUCCUCCAAGCUGCCCAUGAGACAGGCAGGACAAGGAUUCUUUUAUAUAUUUACACACAUACAUACACACAUGCGCGUAUAUAUAUAUCUUUGGUAGAGAUAGGAUCUUGCCACGUUGCCUGGACUAGCCUCAAACUGGGCUCACGUGAUCCUCCCACAUGUGCCUCUAAGUAGCUAGGACUACAGGCUCACACCACGGCACCGGGCUAAUUGUUAAAAUUUUUUUUUGUAGAGACAGGGUCUCCCUAUGUUGCCCAGGCUGGUAUUGAACUCCUGGCCCCUAGGGAUCCUCCCACCUAAGCUUCCCAAAGUGUCGGGAUUACAGGUGUGGCCACUGCACAGGGCCAGGACAAGGAUUCUUAAUCCCAGUCCAGGAUGGGAAACCCAUGGCCGAGUGGGAAGAAACCAGCUGAGGUCACAUCACCAGAGGAGGGAGAGUGUGGCCCCUGACUCAGUCCAUCAGCUUGUGUAGCUGAGGUCUGGGCCAGGUCUAACCAGGCUCCCCACUCCUCCCAACCUGAGCCUGCCCUCUGAUCUCUGCCUGUUCCUCUGUCCCACAGGGGGCAAAGGCUACGGGUCAGAGAGUGGGGAGGAGGACUUUGCCGCCUUUCGAGCCUGGCUGCGCUGCUAUGGCAUGCCAGGCAUGAGCUCCCUGCAGGACCGGCAUGGCCGUACCAUCUGGUUCCAGGGGGAUCCUGGACCCUUGGCACCCAAAGGGCGCAAGUCCCACAAAAAGAAAUCCAAGGCCACACAGCCGAGUCCUGAGGACAGAGUGGAGGACCCUUCGCCUCCAAGCAAGGCCCCUUCCAGGACACGAAGGGCAAAGAGAGACCUUUCUAAGAGGACUGCAACCCAGCAGCCUGAGGGGACCAGCCUCCAGCAGGACCCAGAAGCUCCCACAGUGCCCAAGAAGGGGAGGAGGAAGGGGCGACAGGCAGCCUCUGGCCACCGCAGACCCCGGAAGGUCAAGGCUGACACCCCAUCCUUGGAACCAGAGGGGACCUCAGCCUCUUAGCAGGAGGGUCUCCUUGCUUGCACUCACCCUUUCUUAUUGUCUUGCCCUGAAUCUGGGGGUCUGAAUUCUUGGGAGCAGGCAAUACCUGAAGGUGCAAACAGGCCCUACGGCUGUUCCCUGCACAACUCUCAUGGUUUUAAUUGUACCCCAUCUUCCAUAUCUUUAAAGCUCAUGUAAAAAA
rnacentral:sRNA from 1 species